rnacentral:rRNA from 1 species
GUAACAUGUGGGAAUCUGCCUUGUGGUUCAGGACAACAUUGGGAAACCGAUGCUAAUACUGGAUAAGCCCUUACGGGGAAAGUUUUAAUGCCAUAAGAUGAGCCCGCAUUUGAUUAGUUAGUUGGUGAGGUAAUGGCUCACCAAGACAAUGAUCAAUAGCUGAUCUGAGAGGAUGAUCAGCCACACUGGGACUGAGACACGGCCCAGACUCCUACGGGAGGCAGCAGUGGGGAAUCUUGCACAAUGGAGGAAACUCUGAUGCAGCGAUGCCGCGUGAGUGAAGAAGGCCUUUGGGUUGUAAAGCUCUUUUGUAGGGGAAGAUAAUGACUGUACCCUAAGAAUAAGGUCCGGCUAACUUCGUGCCAGCAGCCGCGGUAAUACGAAGGGACCUAGCGUAGUUCGGAAUUACUGGGCGUAAAGCGCGCGUAGGCCGUUGAGUUAGUUAAUUGUGAAAUCCCAAAGCUUAACUUUGGAACCGCAAUUAAAACUGCUCGACUAGAGUUUGAUAGAGGAAAGCGGAAUACAUAGUGUAGAGGUGAAAUUCGUAGAUAUUAUGUAGAACACCAGUUGCGAAGGCGGCUUUCUGGAUCAACACUGACGCUGAGGCG